CUCUCCUUGCUGAGGUUAUGGACUUUGUACACUUAAGAGCAGGUAUGUCAAACUCGUUUCAGUUUAAGGCCAGAAACUGCUCCGUGGCCGCGCAUACAGCUGACAGAAGAAGGUAAGGCUGAUGCAGGACAGCUGGCUCACGGCGCAGCCGUUUGGCAGCGUGUCGCGGGUUUGACAUAUCUAACCUAGACAAAUAACACGGACAGUUCAAUAUAUUUACAUCUGGAUUUAAAUACACGUAUUCUGCAACAUACGGGUGGAGAUGCAAACACGUUUGGUGAUGUAAAUAGAUGUUACGGGGAAAUUUUAAGUUAAAGAACUUCAUCACCCAGAAUUCCCUAUUCUUGGUUGACGGACAUGCGCAGACUACGUGCGCACAGCCGCGCACGUAGUCUGCGCAUGUUCCGGUUUUGUGUUGAACAGGCAAAGUAUCACCGCUCCGUAUUUUAAACUGCUAACUACACACCUAUACUUCAGGAACUAUUACUACUAUGUGGAUGUAAGCAAAGUGUUCUCAUUCCCUCUUGGAUGUGUGCAGCCAGUGAGGUACGUUUUGUUUAAGGGCUUGUUAUAUCUGCUCGACGGCACGGACAGCUAACUGGGAUAGCGAGUGGAGCUAGCGGCUGCCGGAUGGAGCAGCCAGUCAGCCAGCUUGCUAACUACACACCGGUGCUUACGUCCACAUGUACUCAACGAAGUGGAAACGCCUUUGACGAUGCCACGUGCAAAGUCAUGCCACCAUCAAUGGGAAUGGCACAUUGGACACGUGGCUUUCAACUCCAGCGAGGUGGCGGCACGGAUCUCUGCAUGUCUGACUGACAUCUCCCAGUGGAUGUCCGCCCAUCACCUGAAGAUCAACCCCGACAAGACUGAACUACUUCUCUUCCCUGGAAAAAACUCGCCCACUCAGGACCUGACUGUUAACUUUGGCGAACACCGUUAACAUCAGGAGAAUACGACCCCUUCUCACUCAGAAGGCGGCGCAGGUACAGAUUCAGGCUCUUGUCAUCUCUCGCCUCGACUACUGUAACUCUCUGCUGGCGGGUCUCCCUGCUACCGCCAUACGACCACUGCAGCUCAUCCAGAAUGCAGCAGCUCGACUGGUCUUCAACCUUCUGAAAUACUCCCACACCACACCGCUUCUCCGUUCUCUUCAUUGGUUACUAGUGGCUCCCCGCAUCCAGUUCAAAGCAUUGGUACUGACGUACCACGCUGUGAAUGGAUCGGGACCAGUCUACAUCCGGGACAUGGUUAAACCCUACAUCCCAACCCACACACUCCGAUCUGCAUCUGCCACGCUGC